ACGUGAAAAGAUCUCAGGAAAUAGGAAAACAGCAAUUAUUCCCUUCGAAAUAGCAGUGCUGGGACACCUGAUCUCCGUGUCUCGCUGGGAGGUGCUACCUACUGCCCCUCUCCUGCCUUGUUUCAGUUUGCUGGAGCAUCCCAGAGUCUUCCAUGGUGACAACAGUGUCUGAGCAGCCCUGGCAGGAGCAGGCAGAGUGGAGCACAAAACACAGGAUCUUGAGACAAGACGGCACUUCUGAAGGCAAAGAAGAAGGAGAUGUUCUGUUCUGAGCAUGCUGGAAAGCUUCUCCCCCUCCAAACCUUCCCUGAAGCUCCAGAGGUGCUGUGCCUUGCAGCACUCAGCUCCCUGCCCUGCUCUGUGUUCACCCCAUGCUGCCUCUCCUCUGGGAUUUGGGUCGCUUGCCCUGUUUUGCAGGUGGGGAAGUGGAGGCAAGGAGCCUUGAUCAUGGUCAUCCUCUGCCUUGGCUUCCCAGACAGGAAUCCUGACUCCCCAUCCAGCAAGCUGGAGCAAGGAGGUGGAGGAAAAGCCCAGGAGCAAUUUCUUCUGGUCUGUCUGAGGUCCAGCAGGAGCCUGAAGGAGUGCAGAGCCCAGCUGAGCCUCCAGCCAGCCCCUGCUGUGCCAGGACACUGUCCUUCCUCUGGCACUUGAUCAUCUUGCGGGAGCUGAGGAUGACAGAUGUGGAUUUGGGGUCUCCAGACUGGCUUGGAAGGACAGAGUCCAAACAUCCAUCUGGCUGUGAGUUCCCCACCAUCUCCCAACCCUCAAAACGCCCCCAGGCCUUGGCACCUCGGAAAACAAGGCAUUGUUUUGUGAAAGGGGGAUGGAAAAUUGUGGCUUGUGUUCAAAGGAGAUCAGAUGCUCUGAGCAUAAACCAGCCUCAUGGUUCAGGGCAGCACUGGCAGAGGGAGAGAGGACUGCAAAAGCAUCUUCUGAAAGGAUUCAGGAAGCUUUCCCUGCUGGAGCAGCCACUGCUGCAGGGCUUUUAGUAGCUGAGUUUGAUACAGCAAUUCCUUUUCCUGCCUGCACAGCUGGUCCUAGGGCCACCAGCAGAUCAAUGAACCCAAAAUGCACAAACAAAUGAAGUCUCCUACUGGAGUUUCCAUCAGGGCUGUGUGAAAAGUGCUGAAGUCCCCACAUUCCUGGGGACAACAACCGGCCACCUGCCUUCAGGGGGGACUGGGACUGAGUGGUUAUAAAUAUAGACAAGGAUUUGCAGUAAGCAGACUCAGUCCAGCUGCUGGAAAGAUCUUAUUGUAAGUCUCGUGUGGUCUCACAUUUCUCCACAAAUUAUUAAUGGGGAUAAAUAAUUAUAUAUGAGGGCCAUAGUGGAUGCAAAUGAUUUAAUUCAUAAUACACGCUUCAAGAGUAAUUUGCAAUUUAAAGUGCUGUAUAAAAGCCUGGUAUUAGCAAUACUUAUUUUUAUUAAUUAGUUGCUUGCUCUCAAAAUCUCCAUGGUAAAUAAUUUCCCAUCUUUUUCAUUGAUUUCUAGGGCUCUGGGGAGAGGAAAGGUGACCUUGCAGUGACCUUAUAGGGCAGGUUGUGGACUGGGGGUCCUGGCCCUGGUGCAGCCUUGGCUGGGCUGUGGCUUGUUUGUCUGAUCUUCAUGGCUGGAGAUUUAGGUCUUUGAUCUUGUUAACAGUUUUUGUUCAUUCUUUUUUAGCUUGUACCUGUCACCUGGGGCUGCUCUUCCAAGCUGUGCGUUUGGCUGAUGUUUGGGGAAACUCUUUCCAGAACAGGGGUGGGAUGAUUCCUUCAGCACAGCAAAGAGGGACACUGGAUGGGAUUUCUGGCCUUGGAAAGCUCUGCUGUUUGGCUCACAGCAUGUGCUCUGCCCCAAAAACCCAGGCUCUGCUUCUCCCUUCAACUGAUAUCUCCAGUGCAUGGAGACCAGGUCUCCAAACUCUGCCCUUCUGGCCUGGGAAAAUGCUCCCUGGUGUUACAUCUGCUUUUCCCAGCGAGGCAGAGAGUGCUGAGCUCCAGGAGGGCCUGAUAAGCUCAGGAACAGGUCCCUUUCCCUUUUGGAAGGUGUCCUGAGAGCUCAUCUCUCUCCUGGCAUCCCCCUUGGCUCAAGCAUCCGACUGAGCAGGACCCCAGCCAGGCCGUGGGGAGGUGUGUGGUGGCUUUGCCCUCUUUCUGACAGUGAAGAGCUUCGGUACCAGGCGAGCCCUGACACUUUGCUGCCUCCUUCUCCAGAGCCAGCAGAACGUGGUGUGUGCUGGGAUCUGCAGCAUAUGGGCACUUGUGCUGAAUCCCAGCAUGACAAGGACACCACGGGCUCAUCUCCAUGGGGCGUGGGGAGGACGUGGCAGGUGAGAGCCCUGUCACAGUGGGG